ensembl:lncRNA
AAAGAAAUGAAGAGCACAGAAACAAAUACCAGCAAAGCACAAACAUGAUGUCAAAAUCAAGUCUGGUGUUGACUGUUUCUGGUGGUUCAAAGUUCAUGCCUGUGUUUUGCUUCAGCUUGUAUAAUUUGUGAUGAAGUUUUUAGAUUCAUUCUUAAUUGAUGAAACGUUGGCAAAUUCAUAUUAAUUGUCCAAUAUCAGAUUCAACAGAUUCAAACUCUUCCUGCCAGUCUGAUUCUGGAUCCUUUCCAAGCUUGAAAUAAUGUAAAUCAACUCGAGCAGAAAAGAAAAAAUAACUAAGAAAAAAUAACUGUCAUGAAUGGUAGAAAAGGUAGAACCCAACUCCAGGAUAGGAUCAGGCCUUGGCUGCUAUCCCAAGGAAUUAAUGAAGCAUGUGUAACUUCACCUGUAACGUCACCUGUGGCUCCACCACCUCUCAACAAGCAAGGUCGGAAAAGCAUUUCUUUAGACAAUGUUUUCAAGUACUUUUUGUAUCAGAGUUCAUUUCACUUCCCUCAGACACUUCUGAUAGUCUGGACAGUAACAGCCUGGCUUUCAGGAUUGCUUGGCACUAGGUAAUACACAGCCUGGAAUAUGUCUGUCUUCAUGUUUAAAUUGGUGCCUGAUUACUGCUUGAUCAUCCUGGCCUGUGAAGAACAGAGCUCAUUAGCAUCAACAUGGUGGAAUGCUCUGCAUUCUAUGGAAUUUGAAAUGCAGAGACUAUCUACGACCACAGUUACUGAGACAAGGAAGCUAGAAGGGAAUAAUACCAAAAUCAACAGAAUUCAGCUGAUUUAAAGGCCAACUGUCUUUUGAGUCAUCUCCUUUUAAAAACACCUUAUGACCAGAGAGGACAAUAAUGAUAGCAGAAAGUCCUCUGUGCCU